UUACACCCACACUGUACCCGACGCUAACUUCUGCCGUAGUAACGAAGAUGGUGUCUCAUGAAUGAAAGCCUUGCGGUACGCACUGUCAACAACCUGAUAUCUCUGCGUAAAACGAUGGAUCGGACUGAAUGGAGUCGUGCGACGUUGCCACGGGCCGUGCUCUGCUGCUGUGCAAUUGUCGCCAUUCUCAGUAUCAAUGUGCCAGUAGCGUUGGCGCUACGCUGCGUGCAAUGUCAGCUAGGAAGACAUUGUGAAAAAGGAGACAUCCCAGCGACACUCUGUCAUGGCAACCAUGCGAGUGCCAAACAUUGCGUGACGUCAGUUGGAAACCUUGCAACCGAUCAAAACGACUCGCAGACAUGGGGUUUGAAGCCAGGACGGGCGACAACUUCCGAGACAAACUAAACAGGAUUCGACAGAUUGUAUGUCCGAUUGAUUGUAUACAUCUGUCAAACCAUGCUGAGCAGACAGGAAGGCUCGUGAUACGGGACUGCCUUAGCGUAAGCAUCGAGUACGUGUGCAGCAGCGAGACGAUCGAUUUCCCCGGCGAGCCGAACAUCACGCUACAGCUGUGCUUCACCACGUGCGACGGCGACGGCUGCAACAAUAAACCCGUUGACGAUAUCGGCAACGUCGCCGCCGCCACGGUUGCUCCCGGUCUGUGGCUGCUGUUUCUGGCAGCAGUAGCAGCGGCGGCAGCGGCGGCAGGUAAUUGAAAGUGAUGCUGUCGUUUAGGAAGCCAAAACACUAAUGCUCUUUUACGUGUGUCAAACCGGAGUGACAGUCUGCGUAUACGAUGACAACACACCAGCUAAAUCAGCACCGGAAAUCACGUUGGCGUGACACUAUACACGGAGAUAUGUAGAUAUAGUAUAAUCAGGAGUGAAUAAUAUUAGAACGCUAGCCUAUUAUUAUUCACACCUGGAGUAAUUACAUCCAGUGCCGUAGGCUGAGCAAAUUCCUAGAGGGGGUGUGUGCAAAAUUUCAUGACUCA